rnacentral:rRNA from 1 species
CCUACGGGAGACAGCAGUAGGGAAUAUUGCUCAAUGGGGGCAACCCUGACGCAGCAACGCCGCGUGGAGGAUGAAGGUUUUCGGAUUGUAAACUCCUUUUGUUAGAGAAGAUAAUGACGGUAUCUAACGAAUAAGCACCGGCUAACUCCGUGCCAGCAGCCGCGGUAAUACGGAGGGUGCAAGCGUUACUCGGAAUCACUGGGCGUAAAGAGCGCGUAGGCGGGAUAGCAAGUCAGAUGUGAAAUCCUAUGGCUUAACCAUAGAACUGCAUUUGAAACUGUUAUUCUAGAGUAUGGGAGAGGUAGGUGGAAUUCUUGGUGUAGGGGUAAAAUGCGUAGAGAUCAAGAGGAAUACUCAUUGCGAAGGCGACCUGCUAGAACAUAACUGACGCUGAUGCGCGAAAGCGUGGGGAGCAAACAGGAUUAGAUACCCCGGUAGUC